AUACUGAAAAAACCUCCGGAAGGAAGACGAUUCCUGCUGGUACGUCAUGACUCCGCAGAGACCUGAGAGGAACAUCGGACACAAGCAGCUGUGAUUCAAGAUGGCGGCCAUGUUGAAGCUGCUGAUUUCAACAGCAGCUGGGAAUGAAUGAGUCAGAUCUGAUUUGAACUGUCUUUAUUGACACAAUCGACGACAUAGAGACAAGAAUCGAUAAUGAACUGAUGAAGAUUCCUGCUGUCGUCACAGAUCUGCGGCUCAGAGAAAACGGCGACUCACUGCAGCGAUGAUAAUCC